rnacentral:rRNA from 1 species
UCCUACGGGAGGCAGCAGUGGGGAAUAUUGCGCAAUGGGGGAAACCCUGACGCAGCAACGCCGCGUGGGUGAAGAAGGCCUUCGGGUUGUAAAGCUCUGUCUUCUGGGACGAUAAUGACGGUACCAGAGGAGGAAGCCACGGCUAACUACGUGCCAGCAGCCGCGGUAAUA